rnacentral:rRNA from 1 species
GACGAACGCUGGCGGCGUGCCUAAUACAUGCAAGUAGAACGCUGAAGGAGGAGCUUGCUUCUCUGGAUGAGUUGCGGAGGGGAGAGUAACGCUAAGGUAACCUGCCUGGUAGCGGGGGAGACCGAUUGGCAAGGAUAGCUAGGAUCGCACAAUAGUAUAUGUUGCAUGAUAUUUCGUGAAAAGGUGCAAUUGAAUCACUACCAGAUGGACCUGCGUUGUAUUAGCUAGUUGGUGGGGUAAAGGCUCACCAAGGCGACGAUACAUAGCCGACCUGAGAGGGGGAUCGGCCACACUGGGACUGAGACACGGCCCAGACUCCUACGGGAGGCAGCAGUAGGGAAUCUUCCGCAAUGGACGGAAGUCUGACCGAGCAACGCCGCGUGAGUGAAGAAGGCUUUCGGAUCGUAAAGCUCUGUUGUAAGAGAAGAAAGUGCGUGGGAGUCGAAGGUUCACACUGUGACGGUACCUCACAAGAAAGCACCGGCUAACUACGUG